GUCUUUGUAACAUGUGCUGGAAACAUCAGAGGCACAUGCUUCUCUGCGGCCAAGAUAAGCCUCUCUUUGUCCAUCUUUGCAGCACACAGUGUGAACAACAUGCAAGUUCUAUGCAGUUUCCAGCCAAUGCCAGCAGAGCUGCAGAGG